rnacentral:lncRNA from 1 species
GGCAGCCUAAGAGCAACGUGUCCAGAUGCCAGAAUAAGGGAAUCAAUUUAGGGCGGGUCAAUGGAAACAGCUUUACCCUCCAGAAGACCAUGGCGAAAACCACAUCAAUGCCAGUCAUAGGAGAUCACUCUAUUUUGAAAAAUAUAAAACUGUUUCAUUGCAAAUCUAUGGAAACAAUGUCACAGGGGCCAAGAGCUGUCACUUCGAGUCAAAGAAGGCCCACUUCACUGUGGCGCUGAUGGCCAGUGAUGUCAAGGCGAAUUACACCCCGACUCACCAAGAGAGAAAUCAAAGUCAGGAGAGGAACAUUCAGCUGGAGACACACCC